rnacentral:lncRNA from 1 species
CGAUCCCCAAUUGGAGGUUUCGGCUCCCGUCCGGGACCGUACGAUCGGAAUGAUCGAUUCGGAGCGACUGCCACAGGAAAAUUUCAGGGGCGUGGUAGCAGGAACUUCAAAACCACCAACGCCCGCAGUCCCAUUAGCCCAUGGGCGCAACAGAACGGCGCUCAAGCCAUAGCAGGAGCACGAUCGCCCUUUGAGGGCGACCAAUGGGAGAACCGAACCGCAGUACAAAAUCACUGCAUUCACAUGCGAGGGCUGCCCUUCAAGGCUUCGCAGCAAGACAUUGCAGAAUUUUUCAGGCCGACCAUCCCAGUGACGAUUAACAUCUUGACAGAGCCGUCGGGACGCCCUUCUGGCGAAGCCGACGUCACUUUUGCCAGUCACGAGGACGCCGUAAGAGCGAUGUCUAAAGACAAAAGCCACAUGUCGCAUCGCUAUAUUGAACUUUUCCUCAAUUCUUCUGGCGGCACUUCAAUUGUAGGGGCACAGGGCAGAUUCCGGCGCUAGUCGACCAAGGUGUCUUUGUUAAUGUUGCUCUAUAUAUUUAGUUUUAAUUUGUAUAAUUUGUGCUCUCACGGAUCGUUUUAUAGGAAAAUGCGAGCAUUUUUUUUGUUCUUAAUCGCUGGCUUGAGUGAUUGCUUGGGGGGAUGUAUCUUGAAUUACUAGAUAAUUUUAACUAGGAUUUUUCAGUUUGUUUAUUUCUUUAACAGGGAAUUGAUUGUACUUGUCGAAAAUCGACUAAACAUUUUCUUUUGUACAA